GUGGGGAGCUGGUGAGUCCCAGGCCUGCAAGCAGGGUUCCCCCUGAGAACUGGCCUCUAGGGACCUGACAGCCGAUCCCUCACCUGGGUUUUCUUUCUCCACGGAUGAGUCCCAAUUGGUAGUGUUUGCUGAGAAAUUUCCCCAGCCAGGCUGGGUUCACCUCUAGCUCCCUAGGUGAGACUAGUCACCACAUGGUCAGCUCUGCUAGUCCAGGGAAGCUGCCUGCUGAGUGUGUGACUGGAGGCUGGGCUAGGAGGCUACAGUUUGGAUGUUGUAUAAUCUACACCUUGAGCCCUACAUCCCUUUGUGGUGAGGGGAAAUCCUGGGACAAACGCAGCCUGAUUCCUGCUUGAGGAGGAUCCCUGACAGCAGACAGCAGCCCCUCUGCAGUGACUGAGGAGUCCAGCGUCAUCUUCAAACCUGAAGAUCAUUCAUGGAGUUCUUCAGCAAGCCAGAAUGGAUUUUGAUAUGGGAAGACUAAGAAGAAAGGAUCUGGAAACCACCGGUAGAACAAGCCACAGCUAGUGCCUGGUGACCAGAUAUAAAGCAAGUGUUGAGCUGAGCCUCACCACAAGAACCAAGAGGAGACCAGAUAUGAGGGAGGCACCUGGAGGUUCUGGUGGACACCCAUACAUCAUCGUCAGCAUUCUGUCCAAUAAGGACCAGCCCCCACCUGAGACUGCCAUCUGACUUCAACACAAGCUAAGGAACAGAGCUGGACCGAGAACGUCAAUUCUGUUUUGCCACAACUUUGGAGUUUCAAAAUUUAUUUUUGUUCUGCAUUGGAAUGAAAACAAAACCUUUCUAAUGUUUUCACAAAAGGCAUCAAUCAAAACGUCCAUUUUCGGAUCAAAGAGAUGCGGUUUUGUAUUUGGGCCUCUUUCUCUCCAGAGAGUCCAUCUUGGGCCUCAAAACUUCUUGUAAAAAAAAAAAAA